GAUAAGUUGUCUUUCUUCUUUCAGGUAGCAUCAAGUCCAUUGAGGAAGCCUUCUGUGUUUCUCAUUUUAAACAGGGAGAGAAGUACAAAGAUCAAGAACAAGUGCAUCGAAUUUGUUUGAGUGCCUCUACAGGAAAAAGAGAAAUGAUGCACGUUAUGUACAUAUUGCCAUUGCAUAUUAGCUUUCAAAUACAGCUUAUAGCAAUUCUGGAUGAAAA